ACACGCCCGACCGUUUCACUACGGAAGGGCUGUAUUUAUUGGAUACCAAAACCAUCCUUCCCUCGGGAAGUUUUGUUUGAUGAUUCACAAUAACUGAUCGGAUCGCCACUGUGGUGGCGACAGGUCAUUCAACAUUCUGCCCUAUCAGCUUUCGAUGGUUGUGUAGUGGACAACCAUGGCCAUAACGGGUAACGGAGAAUCAGGGUUCGAUUCCGGAGAAGGAGCUUGAGAAUUGGCUACUACAUCUAAGGAAGGCAGCAGGCGCGCAAAUUACCCAAUCCCGAUUCGGGGAGGUAGUGACAAAAAAUAACAAUACCGGGCCUUUUUGGGCUUGGUAAUUGGAAUGAGGGAGAGUUAAACGGACCAUCGAGUAUCCAUUGGAGGGCAAGUCUGGUGCCAGCAGCUGCGGUAAUACCAGCUCCAAUAGCGUAUAUUAAAGUUGUUGCAGUUAAAAAGCUCGUAGUUGGACUUGUGUGCGCUGUCCGCGGGUGGCCUGCGCCCAAAAGGGCGUUUCGGUUCGGCCCCGGUGGCGCCUUGAAAUCUGCAGCUGGGGGGACGUUGGCCUUAACUGGUCGGCGACCGCACGCCGGCUGCUCGGUUACUGUGAGAAAAUUAGAGUGUUCAAGGCAGGCAUUGGGUGCAAUUGAAUACAUUAGCAUGGAAUAAUAAAAUAUGGCUCCUGCCGUAUUUUGUUGGUUUUGACUGGUGGGAGUAAUGAUUGAUAGGGACGGUUGGGGGUGCUAGUAUUGAGCGGCCAGAGGUGAAAUUCAUGGAUUCGCUCAAGACUAACUUAUGCGAAAGCAUUCACCAAGGACGUCCUCUUUAAUCAAGAACGAAAGUUGGGGGAUCGAAGACGAUCAGAUACCGUCGUAGUCUCAACCAUAAACUAUGUCGACUUGGGAUCGGCGGUAGUUUUUUCAUUAAGACACUGUCGGGACCACGGGAGAAAUCAAAGUGUCUGGACUCUGGGGGAAGUAUGGUCGCAAGGCUGAAACUUGAAGGAAUUGACGGAAGGGCACCACCAGGAGUGGAGCCUGCGGCUUAAUUUGACCCAACACGGGGAAACUUACCAGGUCCAGAGAUGUAGAGGAUUGACAGAUUGAAGCUCUUUCUUGAUCACUUCGGUGGUGGUGCAUGGCCGUUCUUAGUUGGUGGAGUGAUUUGUCUGGUUAAUUCCGUUAACGAACGAGACCUCAGCCUGCUAGUGUAGUCGGCUGGAUUGCCUUUGGCGAUCCGUGAUUUCGACUUCUUAGAGGGACAAUCGACGCGCAGUCGAUGGAAGUUUGAGGC
rnacentral:rRNA from 1 species